GAUAUUUUCAUUACAUUGGGGUCAGUUUUGCAGGAUUUCUCCAUCUUCACUUUCCUGAUAAUGACAUUUAUUUUGACCUAUAAUGACCUCCCAGGCCAAUAUUUGUAAACAGUGACUGAAGUAAUGAGUCAACAUCAUCUCAACAUACAGGAUGUCAAACUGGACAGGAAGGUUUAUUGUGUCACUGGGCUCAGCUUCACAUCACUAAGGUAAUUAUUAAACCCAGGGUACACAGAACCUUGAUCCCAUGUGUAUUUUUAAAUGAUCGGCAACAGCCAAUUUUACAAAAAUGUCAUUUUGAAAAGCCAUUCUCUGUAGGAAUUCACUGUGUCAACAUACAAGGUGUCCAGUGCAAGGUUUAGCAAAGUAAACUAGCCCACAGAAAAGGUGCUGGUUUGGAGUGCUGUGUGAGGAGCUGCGGGGCCUCCUCUGAUUCCCAGCCAAGAGGAGUGUGAAAGGUUCCUCUCCCAAAGGAGAAAGCAGUGUGCUCACAUCAGUGCUACUGACGAGAGAGAAAAGGUGGACAUGGCCACGGAAAGAGUGGAUGUGUAAAAGUAUGAAGAUGUGCAUAGGUUGCUGCUGAAGAUCCUACCGCUUGCAAGGCGAAACAACCUCUCUCUGCUGUUGAAGCUAGACAGCAGAGCUGUUCUGGGAUGCCUACACCUGGGCUGGCGCUCAGGGCAGCGCCACGGACAGCACUGGGCACUUGCUUCCCCACACAAAUUACUUGCACAGGUGGGAACUUUCAGGGGGAACUGGUGCAAUGGGUAGGAAGAAAAAAAGGAGCUGGGAUUGUACUGAUGGAAAUGGGGGAGAGGGAGAAAUAGCACCUUCAUAAAUACUGUAAAAACUCUUCAACUAAAGAGAAACAAGGAAAACAGCAAGAAUAUGAUCAAGGCUUUUGCCACCAGAGUGGUAAACAACUUUCCAUCACUGUCUCUUGGGUACUUUCUUCUUUUGCUGAAUUUUGUAGAAACAUGCUCCCUCACCUGCCAAGGAUGACUUAAUGAGAGGUGACACACCUUACUCUGCUCUCUUUCCAACUAUUCUCUGAUUCCCAGGAUUUAGGAGGUACUUGUGUGAAGUCCUCAUUACCUGUGUGAAGAUAGAGACAGUGCUCAGCUGCUGAACCACCAAUGCACGGGCUUCAGAAAAGCCUGCUAGGGAAGCUCUAUUUCCCAGCCCUACCAGUCCUAUUUUACUACUCUGAACUCAAAUAUCUGAACAAAGUAUAUGAAACAACAAGCAGCACAUAUUUUCCCGAGCAAGAAUCAAACGCAGAAAGGAAAGUAUUUGCAUAUUAGAAAUCCUGUUCUGUAGAAAAUCUGCAUGUGCCAGGAAAACAGAACAUAUGUGCUGAAUGAAUUCAGGCAAAACUGCACUUUUGCUGUGCUGCUUAUGAAAAAUCACAUCUACUACACUGUGUCUGUCACUGACACUGGCUUUUCGUCAGCAUUUCAUCAAAAUCCAACAAAUACAAAAAACAAACACCAAGAAUAAGAUGACUGGCUAUACAGCAUUCAUAGCCCAACGUAUCUAACCCAGAUUUGGAAAAGAACCUUGCUGAAGCUGACCACCUGCCCUCAAGUACCCAACUGAUCCCCCCUGAAUGUCCGUCUAAACAAGUGCUGGCAGGGCAGAAGACAGUAUGUGGCAACAGGUUACCUGAACAACGCACACCUGCACCAAGGGGGAGACUGGCAGCCCAAAGCAGCCUUCCUGCUCUGCUAACUCCUGGGAGAUCCCUUCCAAGAUGUAAACCCCAGGAGCUGGCUGCACUUGUAGAGCAGCUCUCUGCAAGAGCCAUUCCAAAAAAUACACAGAAUUGUAACAGAAGGGUACAAGGGAAUACAGAAGUCUGCUAGAGUUCUGGAUACAUCAAAACAUUCAAUGUAUCGAAAGCGCAAAGUUCAUCCCUGCUUCAUCACAAAGGAAAGUCCAGUCCCUUUCCGUACCAGAGUCACACAGCUAUACCCACACAGUAGGCAGUGAACAUGUAUUUUCUUUCUGUACUUUGCUGUCUGGUGGUGGUAACUCCCUUGGAAGAGCUGUAUGACAAAUCCUUUUUGGCAACUGCAACACCAGUGGCAAUGACUUCUAACCAAAUAAAGUAAGUACUUCAGGUACUGUCUGUUCAAAACUAGUGUUCAAACCAAAUGAAAGGAAGAAGAGUUAAGGAAACUUCUGCUGCUGUGGAAUGUCCAUUUCUUUGUUCUACUCUUCCCUUGGUCCCUCUGUUCAGCUCUAAGAAAGCUCUUCCCUUGCUCAGUUCUGGGGAGAAAGGGGGUACUGGUCACUGAUAGAGGAGACGCUGUAAGUACAAUACACUACAACACUUCAAACAUGAAGUCCACCCAUGGUACUUUGUACAACAUAUUCUCACUCCAAGAUGGCCUCGCUUACAGAGAGUCAUUCACUUGUUCAACUUAAACAGCAUGGACACGAUGGUCACAGGCUGCUCGACAAACAGCCUUGGUCCUACUUUAAUACCGUACUUCUAAGAUUCUUGAUAUUAGAAACCUAGAUAUUUUCAAAUGCAUGGUUCAAAUAUACAGUGGGUAUAUUGCUAAUGUCAAACAACAAGCAGUAUGUUGGUUUUCAACUUUCUGUUCUAGUACAGACACUGCCCCUGAGCUGUUGCUUUUUAAAAACGUCCCAUGUACAGAUUUUUAGGCUAUCCUUGUGAUAAGGGUUGCACUUCUGUGAUUUCAACUCUGCUGUCACACACAAACUAUUUCUGUAUUGGGUUUGGAUUUAUUUUUAAAUGGUCUUAAUAUGAACACACAAAAAUAAAGAAACAAAAAGUAAAACUGA